AACGAACGCUGGCGGCAGGCUUAACACAUGCAAGUCGAACGCAUCCUUCGGGGUGAGUGGCAGACGGGUGAGUAACGCGUGGGAACGUGCCCUUCAGUUCGGGAUAACCCAGGGAAACUUGGGCUAAUACCGGAUACGUGCGAGAGCAGAAAGAUUUAUCGCUGAAGGAUCGACCCGCGUCUGAUUAGCUAGUUGGUGGGGUAAUGGCCCACCAAGGCGACGAUCAGUAGCUGGUCUGAGAGGAUGAUCAGCCACAUUGGGACUGAGACACGGCCCAAACUCCUACGGGAGGCAGCAGUGGGGAAUAUUGGACAAUGGGCGCAAGCCUGAUUCAGCCAUGCCGCGUGAGUGAUGAAGGCCUUAGGGUUGUAAAGCUCUUUCGUCCGGGACGAUAAUGACGGUACCGGAAGAAGAAGCCCCGGCUAACUUCGUGCCAGCCGCCGCUGUAAAAC
rnacentral:rRNA from 1 species